UCAGAAGGCAGCACUCUUGGGGCAUCUCUGCUAUGGCCUGGGCUCUGCUCCUCCUCACGCUCCUCACUCAGGGCUCAGGGUCCUGGGCCCAGUCUCCCCUGACUCAGCCUUCCUCCGUGUCUGACUCACUUGGAAAGUCGGUCACCAUCUCCUGUGCUGGAAGCAGCAAUGACAUUGGGGGAUAUAACCUCGUAUCCUGGUACCAACAGCGCCCAGGCACAGCCCCUAAACUCCUGAUUUAUGAGGUAAAUAAACGGCCCUCAGGAAUCCCUGAGCGCUUCUCUGGCUCCAAGUCUGGCAACACGGCCACCCUGACCAUCUCUGGGCUCCAGGCUGACGACGAGGCCGAUUAUUACUGUUGCUCAUAUAGCAGCAGUGGCACUUUGCACAGUGACUCAAGUUCAUGGGGAAGUGAGACCAAAAGCUGCCCUGUGCUCACAGGCUCCCUGUUGCUCUGA